AUUGAACGCUGGCGGCAGGCCUAACACAUGCAAGUCGAGCGGAUGAAGAGAGCUUGCUCUCUGAUUCAGCGGCGGACGGGUGAGUAAUGCCUAGGAAUCUGCCUGGUAGUGGGGGACAACGUUUCGAAAGGAACGCUAAUACCGCAUACGUCCUACGGGAGAAAGUGGGGGAUCUUCGGACCUCACGCUAUCAGAUGAGCCUAGGUACGAUUAGCUAGUUGGUGAGGUAAAGGCUCACCAAGGCGACGAUCGUUAACUGGUCUGAGAGGAUGAUCAGUCACACUGGAACUGAGACACGGUCCAGACUCCUACGGGAGGCAGCAGUGGGGAAUAUUGGACAAUGGGCGAAAGCCUGAUCCAGCCAUGCCGCGUGUGUGAAGAAGGUCUUCGGAUUGUAAAGCACUUUAAGUUGGGAGGAAGGGCAGUAAGUUAAUACCUUGCUGUUUUGACGUUACCGACAGAAUAAGCACCGGCUAACUUCGUGCCAGCCGCCGCAGUAACAC
rnacentral:rRNA from 1 species